rnacentral:rRNA from 1 species
CGGAGGGUGCAAGCGUUAUCCGGAUUCACUGGGUUAAAGGGUGCGUAGGUGGGCAGGUAAGUCAGUGGUGAAAUCUCCGGGCUUAACUCGGAAACUGCCAUUGAUACUAUCUGUCUUGAAUACCGUGGAGGUCAGCGGAAUAUGUCAUGUAGCGGUGAAAUGCUUAGAUAUGACAUAGAACACCAAUUGCGAAGGCAGCUGGCUACACGAAUAUUGACACUGAUGCACGAAAGCGUGGGGAUCAAACAGGAUUAGAUACCCUGGUAGUCCACGCCCUAAACGAUGGAUACUCGACAUACGCGAUACACAGUGUGUGUCUGAGCGAAAGCAUUAAGUAUCCCACCUGGGAAGUACGAUCGCAAGAUUG